rnacentral:rRNA from 1 species
GACGAACGCUGGCGGCGUGCUUAACACAUGCAAGUCGAACGGAAAGGCCCUGCUUUUGUGGGGUGCUCGAGUGGCGAACGGGUGAGUAACACGUGAGUAACCUGCCCUUGACUUUGGGAUAACUUCAGGAAACUGGGGCUAAUACCGGAUAGGAGCUCCUGCUGCAUGGUGGGGGUUGGAAAGUUUCGGCGGUUGGGGAUGGACUCGCGGCUUAUCAGCUUGUUGGUGGGGUAGUGGCUUACCAAGGCUUUGACGGGUAGCCGGCCUGAGAGGGUGACCGGCCACAUUGGGACUGAGAAGCGGCACAGACUCCUACGGGAGGCAGCAGUGGGGAAUAUUGCACAAGGGGCGGAAGCCUGAGGCAGCAACGCCGCGUGCGGGAUGACGGCCUUCGGGUUGUAAACCGCUUUCGCCUGUGACGAAGCGUGAGUGACGGUAAUGGGUAAAGAAGCACCGGCUAACUACGUG